rnacentral:rRNA from 3 species
UCCGUAGGUGAACCUGCGGAAGGAUCAUUGUCG